GCAGCCCACCUCCUCCCUCCCUCACGCUCUCCUCCUCCUGGCCGACCCUGACUCCUCCCACUCGUUCUUUCUCUCGUUCUCCCUCUCAUGCUUCUCCUCCCAUGGCUUCAUGCCCUUCAAUCCACCCUCCGCAGCACCAAAUCCCUAGCGGGAACUAGCAUUCGGUGUAGAUAGAUCUUUCCCCCUUGGUUUCCACUCCCUAGGGUUUCAAGGGUGACAAAGGUGAUGUUGCUACGAGGCACCUAUGACAUGUCUACAUGCUCGGUAAAGGCAAGUGAACGUAGCGGUUGUGUUGCUACAACUUUAACAUUCUAUUUUUACUGCCUCUACUUAUAAAAUACAGCACACAUAAGUGAUAAUAUAACAAAUUUGGACAUGACUCAUAAUGAUUGGGUGAAAUAUGAAAUGUUGUUGCUAAUAAAAUCUAGAGGUAACGUGACUUUUUACUUCAACAUGGGUGGAUAGAUAAAUGAGGUGGUCUAUAUGUGACGGAUUUUGAAUUUAUGGCUGGGAUGAUUUACAUAUGACUUAAUAAUUUAUCCUAUAGUAUGUUUUCCUGUGAGAAAAUUUUCGGAAUCCUUAAAGGUUUACUAAUGAGUGGGCUUGUUAUAGUAGAGGUUAUGCUAAUCUUGGUGUACGAAAAUCUCUGUGGCAUUUAUGUCUCCUAGUGCUAUCAUGUGUGGAUAAAUUGAAGUUUGGAUAAAGAGCAAGGUUCGAAGUAGUAUCUUACUAUUGUUCGGUAUAUGUGUUCAAAUAUAUGGAUUGAAUCUUGGGCCAACCGGCUCUACUUAGAAAUAUUUUUAUAUGAUAGAUAUGCUUGGGGUUUGAAAUAUGGAAUUAUUCUUUUGUAUGUUUAAAUUGAUGAUGGCUACACAGUAUCAUAAUUCUGUUAAGACUAGGGAGAUCUAUAGAUAUAAUCGUAUGAAUAACUGUUUGGUUGAUGUUUGCAACACAUGAUUAUUCAGUCAUUGUUGGUUGAUGUUUGCACCAUAUGAAUAUUCAAGCAUGGUUGGUUGGUGUUUGAAACAUAUGAUUAUUGAGUCAUGGUUGGUUGAUAUUUGGAAUAUAUGAUUACAAAGUCACGGUUGGUUGGUGUUUGGAACAUAUAACUAUUCAAUCAUAGUUGGUAUUGCUUAUGCUGCGGGAGUACUGUUUGCAUUUCUGGUAUUAACUAUCAUGAAUUAUUUUCUCCUUCCAUCAUGGAGUACAGGGUAUUUGAAUUUGGAGUAUAUGAUAUCUGGCUUUCGAGAUCCUGUUGCAUUGCAUUGCAUUGCACUGCAUUUCGUGGCAUUUGGAGUUAUGUCGCGAGCCUAUGGUUGCGACCGUACCGGUAGAACAUUGUUUAUUGGGUAUAACGAUGCAGCUUCAUACCUUGUUGGAUAUGAAGGCAGGAGUUCAUAUGCAUCCAUAUGCAUACAUUAUUGGUUUGGCAUAAAGGUGCAGCUUCAUACCUUGAUGGGUACGAAGGCAGGAGUUCAUGUGCA